GCGCCGGUGGCGAAGCGGUUAACGCAGCCGCCUGCAGAGCGGCGAUCCACAGGUUCAAAUCCUGUCCGGCGCU
rnacentral:tRNA from 1 species